GGCGAACGCUGGCGGCGUGCUUAACACAUGCAAGUCGAACGAAGAGCGAUGGAAGCUUGCUUCUAUCAAUCUUAGUGGCGAACGGGUGAGUAACGCGUAAUCAACCUGCCCUUCAGAGGGGGACAACAGUUGGAAACGACUGCUAAUACCGCAUACGAUCUAAUCUCGGCAUCGAGGAAAGAUGAAAGGUGGCCUCUAUUUAUAAGCUAUCACUGAAGGAGGGGAUUGCGUCUGAUUAGCUAGUUGGAGGGGUAACGGCCCACCAAGGCGAUGAUCAGUAGCCGGUCUGAGAGGAUGAACGGCCACAUUGGGACUGAGACACGGCCCAGACUCCUACGGGAGGCAGCAGUGGGGAAUCUUCCGCAAUGGACGAAAGUCUGACGGAGCAACGCCGCGUGAGUGAUGACGGCCUUCGGGUUGUAAAGCUCUGUUAAUCGGGACGAAAGGCCUUCUUGCGAACAGUUAGAAGGAUUGACGGUACCGGAAUAGAAAGCCACGGCUAACUACGUG
rnacentral:rRNA from 1 species